AAUGGAGUGUCAGAAAAAUGAGUUGGAUUUAAGCUUCUAUUAUGGGAUUCCCCCUCCAUU
rnacentral:tRNA from 1 species